UGGGGAAUAUUGGACAAUGGGCGAAAGCCUGAUCCAGCCAUGCCGCGUGAGUGAUGAAGGCUUUAGGGUUGUAAAGCUCUUUCGCCGAUGAAGAUAAUGACGGUAGUCGGAGAAGAAGCCCCGGCUAACUUCGUGCC
rnacentral:rRNA from 1 species